rnacentral:rRNA from 1 species
GGGUUGUGAGGUUAAGCGACUAAGCGUACACGGUGGAUGCCCUGGCAGUCAGAGGCGAUGAAGGACGUGCUAAUCUGCGAUAAGCGCCGGUAAGGUGAUAUGAACCGUUAUAACCGGCGAUUUCCGAAUGGGGAAACCCAGUGUGACUCGUCACACUAUCAUUAACUGAAUCCAUAGGUUAAUGAGGCGAACCGGGGGAACUGAAACAUCUAAGUACCCCGAGGAAAAGAAAUCAACCGAGAUUCCCCCAGUAGCGGCGAGCGAACGGGGAGGAGCCCAGAGCCUGAAUCAGCAUGUGUGUUAGUGGAAGCGUCUGGAAAGGCGCGCGAUACAGGGUGACAGCCCCGUACACAAAAGCGCAUGUGC